CCCGUACUGGACUUGUUGCUCAUAUUAUUUUGUUCUGAACUUCUGAAAUCAAGGGGACAAAUUUGUCCACGCAUGGUGCUAUCUGCCAUGAGAGAAUUGCUCCAGAAACAAAAAAAAGUUCCUACUGACAGCACGUUAACUUCACACAAGCACACAGGCAUACAAGUAACGAUGAACAUUAACAGACACAAUAAUUGCCAAGGUUCACUUCAGUUCUGACAUUAAAACGAGGCAAGUACUCAGCUAGAGUUAACCAAGGUUCAACAUCCUGACAUGAGGGGCAGCAAAACGAUAACCGGAAAACAUUUUAUGUCUACUGAUUUACCCAGACAACGAAAGCGGCGAUGACAGUCUUACGAGCUCUAGUUCUUGAUCUUCUUCUUGGGCCUCAGCUGGUUGCUGUGGCCACACUUCUUCUUGCGGCAGUUGAC
rnacentral:lncRNA from 1 species